rnacentral:rRNA from 1 species
UAUACCGUGAAACUGCGAAUGGCUCAUUAAAUCAGUUAUCGUUUAUUUGAUAGUACCUUACUACUUGGAUACCCGUGGUAAUUCUAGAGCUAAUACAUGCUAAAAACCCCGACUUCGGGAGGGGUGUGUUUAUUAGAUAAAAAACCAACGCCCUUCGGGGCUCCUUGGUGAUUCAUGAUAACCUCUCAGAUCGCACGGCCUUGCGCCGGCGACGGUUCAUUCAAAUUUCUGCCCUAUCAACUUUCGAUGGUAAGGUAUUGGCUUACCAUGGUUUCAACGGGUAACGGGGAAUUAGGGUUCGAUUCCGGAGAGUGAGCCUGAGAAACGGCUCACACAUCCAAGGAAGGCAGCAGGCGCGCAAAUUACCCAAUCCCGACACGGGGAGGUAGUGACAAUAAAUACUGAUACAGGGCUCUUUUGGGUCUUGUAAUUGGAAUGAGUACAAUUUAAACCUCUUAACGAGGAACAAUUGGAGGGCAAGUCUGGUGCCAGCAGCCGCGGUAAUUCCAGCUCCAAUAGCGUAUAUUAAAGUUGUUGCAGUUAAAAAGCUCGUAGUUGAAUCUUUGGCCUGGCUGGCGGGUCCGCCUCACCGCGUGCACUUGUCCGGCCGGGCCUUCUCUUCUGGAGAACCGCAUGCCCUUCACUGGGCGUGUUGGGGACCAGGACUUUUACUUUGAAAAAAUUAGAGUGUUCAAAGCAGGCCUUUGCUCGAAUACGUUAGCAUGGAAUAAUAGAAUAGGACGUGCGGUCCUAUUUUGUUGGUUUCUAGGACCGCCGUAAUGAUUAAUAGGGACAGUCGGGGGCAUCAGUAUUCAAUUGUCAGAGGUGAAAUUCUUGGAUUUAUUGAAGACUAACUACUGCGAAAGCAUUUGCCAAGGAUGUUUUCAUUAAUCAGUGAACGAAAGUUAGGGGAUCGAAGACGAUCAGAUACCGUCGUAGUCUUAACCAUAAACUAUGCCGACUAGGGAUCGGGCGGUGUUAUCGAUUUGACCCGCUCGGCACCUUGCGAGAAAUCAAAGUGUU